AAGUCAUACAUUGGACACUUUUGUAGCAAGUCCUUAAAGCACUCCCAAACUUUAUAUAAGUUCUCAUCCUCUAUUUUCUUGAAGGAGGUAAUGUAAUUUCUCAACCU